GACGAACGCUGGCGGCGUGCUUAACACAUGCAAGUCGAACGGAAAGGCCCUGCUUUUGUGGGGUGCUCGAGUGGCGAACGGGUGAGUAACACGUGAGUAACCUGCCCUUGACUUUGGGAUAACUUCAGGAAACUGGGGCUAAUACCGGAUAGGAGCUCCUGCUGCAUGGUGGGGGUUGGAAAGUUUCGGCGGUUGGGGAUGGACGCGCGGCUUAUCAGCUUGUUGGUGGGGUAGUGGCUUACCAAGGCUUUGACGGGUAGCCGGCCUGGGAGGGUGACCGGCCACAUUGGGACUAAGAUACGGCCCAGACUCCUACGGGAGGCAGCAGUGGGGAAUAUUGCACAAUGGGCGGAAGCCUGAGGCAGCAACGCCGCGUGCGGGAUGACGGCCUUCGGGUUGUAAACCGCUUUCGCCUGUGACGAAGCGUGAGUGACGGUAAUGGGUAAAGAAGCACCGGCUAACUACGUG
rnacentral:rRNA from 1 species